rnacentral:rRNA from 1 species
GAUGAACGCUGACAGAAUGCUCAACACAUGCAAGUCGAUGGGGAAGUGGUGCUUGCACCAUGGCAACCAUGGCGGACGGGUGAGUAACGCGUAAGGGACUUACCUGCAGGACUGGGAUAACAGGGGGAAACUCCUGACAAGACCGGAUAAUGUCAUGGAGCUGCAUGGCUUUAUGAUGAAAGGAGACGCCUGCGGAGAGCCUUGCGUCCUAUUAGCUAGUUGGUGAGGUAAUGGCUCACCAAGGCGAAGAUAGGUAGCCGGCCUGAGAGGGUGGACGGCCACAAGGGGAAUGAGAUACGGCCCUUACUCCUACGGGAGGCAGCAGUGGGGAAUAUUGGACAAUGGGGGCAACCCUGAUCCAGCAAUUCUGUGUGCACGAAGAAGGUUUUCGGAUUGUAAAGUGCUUUCAGCAGGGAAGAAGUAAGUGACGGUACCUGCAGAAGAAGCGACGGCUAAAUACGUG